GCUCAUCUUUCAGGCCCUAAGUGUGCAGACAAACAAGGGGUGGCACGCUGGGAAAGGACAAGUGCCGGUGACACUGCUCGUGGCACGGCCAGUAACUCCCUUUUAAGAUGUGAUUUUGGAGAAGAAAUAGUCCUUCUUGGAGACCCGUUGCUCCAUCUGUAAGGGCUGUACAUUCUUCGAUCAUGACUCGUCUUGGGGAAAGUGAGGAGGGUGGAGUGAAGACCACGAGCUGUCCCCAAAAAUCCACUUCUCCUUCCUCAGCAGUUGGCGUUUAGCCGGGACGUGACUGCUCCGUUAAGGACCCCAACUGCCAGCUCCCGUCGCAGCCCGUCAGGCCAUGUUCACGGAGCUCUUGUCGAUGGACGGACGUGAGCAGAUGGGACUCUGCAGCUUUUCCUUGCUCGCUUACGAGUAAACCUCCGGCCCUAGAAUUCUGGUCCUUCUCUCUCUUCACAAACUGGCAGCGCUUCCACCCGCGGGCACUCGGAAGCUGCAUGUUGAGGAUGGCAGUCGCUGUCCCUCCCUCUGAACCACCGAGCAGAGCGCAGCCGUCCACCUGCGUGGAACACUGCCCGGGACCACGCUGCCACGGACCUCCGGACAAACCACCCUCCCGUCGCCAGGAAGCAUCCACGAGGACAUCUCUCUCCCCCUCUUCUUAACCAUCACAUCCAAUACCUGUCCCCCACAUUUUCUGGUACUUACAUGGUGUCCCACUUA